CAUGGGUGCUUCACUAUUUUUUUCAAAUAAUCCAUGAUCUCAGCAUCAGAAUAAUGGAUUGUUAACAAGUGGAUUUAAGUUCAGAAUUUAGAGUAUUUAUCCAGAUCCUAAUUGUUUAAACUACAGUACUUUGGGGAUUAAGGGAACAUUUAAUUGUCACAGUAUAACACCAAAUCAGUUAAAGUUCAAGGAUAUCAAUUCCACCUGCAUUGAUGCAAAUCCCCGGAAGAGCUGAAGGAAGUGUCUGGGGAGAGGGAAGUCUGGGUGACACCAAGUGCAGUCACAGACUUCAGGCACUCACUAAUGCGCUGAUCCAGGUCUGGGAAGAGACCCCUCGGGACACCAGCUGCUGACUCAUCAGCUACAUGCCCAAACGUUGUCAGGUGCUCUGAGGACAGUGUGUCAGAUCUGUGUGGAUUUUUUCUUCCCUCCUGCCUGUACUGGGUCACACUGCCUGUCCCAGUUGCCAACUCAAGGGAAAGAAAAUUGUGGGAGCUUAAUGCGAUCGAUCGGCCAGGCCCUUUCAAGAUCAGCGCCAGUAUAAGCAUCUCUUCCCCUAACACACAUGCUGCCUCUUUCCCCUCAGGUAAUGACUGUCCUUGGGCUGGGGGGAAUAGUUUGUCUGCAUUAAGAGAGAGAAGUGUUUCUCGUAGCAUCCAGUCCCUCUUCGUCCUCGCUGCUCCUCAGUAAUGUGGUUAACUAUGGAGAGUGUAUUCGUCCUCUUUGACAAAAGUGGGCCUCUGCUUCAUGUCUGAGGAACACCUGGCACACCUUGACAAGGGAUUGAUCUCAAGCUGUGUGCGUUUGGCGAUGGCAGCCCUGCAGAGACAAAAGGUGAGGAGCUGCGUGGAUGUUAGUCAGGCAGGUAGGCAGAAUAAUGGAAUCAAUACUAUUGUCUGUAACCUACCUGCCGCUGGGCUCUCUGUCUGGCCCCGGCACAGACCAUCAGAGAGAGAGAGAGAGACAGAGAGAGAGACAGAGGGGGGAGCUGAGAGGCAACAGAGACUCACUCUGACCGGGAAGAAAAAGAAAAGAGGAGGCUGGCCGUGAGAUGGAGUCACGGCUCAUACGCCCUCCUUGUCCUGUCUUCAGAUCAUCGAAAAGUAGUGUCAUCCAUCCAGCUGCUGCAGUGCUGAGAUCAUUUGAGACCUGCUGUUGAAAAAUCUUACCUUGCUCCUUUCACUGCUGCACUGCGAGCAAACCGGGAGAGAGCGGCCGGUGCCGCAGAAUCCAAAUGUCAGAUGAGGUCAUGUCUUUGUCUCGGUGCAGCGACUCUGCGGUUUUUCCUUUUAAAACGUUUCUUCCCAGCGUUUUCCUUCUCUACGUGUAAUUACAGAUUUUUUGGUUGUUUGAAUAGAAGUAACUGCUGAGCGAUCCCACCCUCUCUGUGUAUUUUAGUUUCACAGUAUGCCCCUCUGUCCCUGAGACCCUUAACCUGUGAGGUCAAAGCAGGUCACAGGUGAGGUCCUCGGGAACAGGGCUGCAUUCAGUUUCAACGUCCCAGAACAAGAGUAACGUUUUGUGAAGAGAGGUAUAACUUAAUGAACAUUUUACUCCCCAGAAAGUCAAAUUGUGAUGUUUGAUGUCUUGCCAGUCUCGCCAUUCUUUUCAAUGCAAGAAAAACUCUCAGACGAUUAUGAUGUCACGUCGAAUGUAUCUGUCUCCAGCUGACUGUUUACCUGUCAUGUCAUGAUCAAGACCUGUCAGGUUGGAAAAGAAGAAGAAGAAGAAAACCCCUCCUCCUGCAGCACACACACAAUCUCAGGGGGCCAACCCUAUUGGCUGGCUUUGUGUUAUAGUCCUCUAUGGGGGGCCAAUAGGAAGACAGCCGAGGGUUGUGACCCCGUCAUUUAUGUCACCUUUAAAAACCAGAGAUGUUUGUAUAUCACAUACAUGUUUCUGUAUUUGUACUGGAAAUGCUGCAGUGUUUUAACCUCCGAAUGUCAA